rnacentral:misc_RNA from 1 species
ACUAUCACUUGCACUCAACUCCCGCUUCAGCAGCCCGCCGAGGUAUGCCCUUCCGCCUCCUCCCCUGUUGUCGAAACCCACUAGCUGUUGUCGGCUCCUCAAUGCUCGAUCUGGCCGAAGUAUCAUUCUCCUCCAAAUUUGAAUCAGAAUUUUCUUUCGCUUCUAGAUGCCUCUUCCUCUUCUUCCCCUUCCCGGGAGAGGG